rnacentral:rRNA from 1 species
GACGAACGCUGGCGGCGUGCUUAACACAUGCAAGUCGAACGGAAAGGCCCUGCUUUUGUGGGGUGCUCGAGUGGCGAACGGGUGAGUAACACGUGAGUAACCUGCCCUUGACUUUGGGAUAACUUCAGGAAACUGGGUCUAAUACCGGAUAGGAGCUCCUGCUGCAUGGUGGGGGUUGGAAAGUUUCGGCGUUUGGGGAUGGACUCGCGGCUUAUCAGCUUGUUGGUGGGGUAGUGGCUUACCAAGGCUUUGACGGGUAGCCGGCCUGAGAGGGUGACCGGCCACAUUGGGACUGAGAUACGGCCCAGACUCCUACGGGAGGCAGCAGGGGGGAAUAUUGCACAAUGGGCGGAAGCCUGAUGCAGCAACGCCGCGUGCGGGAUGACGGCCUUCGGGUUGUAAACCGCUUUCGCCUGUGACGAAGCGUGAGUGACGGUAAUGGGUAAAGAAGCACCGGCUAACUACGUG